rnacentral:rRNA from 1 species
UACGUAGGCAGCGAGCGUUGUUCGGAGUUACUGGGCGUAAAGCGUGCGUAGGCGGUGUCUUAAGUUUGUUGUGAAAUCUCCCGGCUUAACCGGGAGGGUGCGGCGAAUACUGAGAUGCUGGAGUGCGGGAGAGGUAAGCGGAAUUCCUGGUGUAGCGGUGAAAUGCGUAGAGAUCAGGAGGAACACCUGUGGUGUAGACAGCUUACUGGACGAUAACUGACGCUGAGGCACGAAAGCGUGGGUAGCAAACAGG